UACCAGCACCCCGAGUGGUCGGGACGUUUAUUGGGCCUAAAGCAUCCGUAGCCGGUUCUACGAGUCUUCCGUUAAAUCCAACUGCUUAACAGGUGGGCUGCGGAAGAUACUAUAGAGCUAGGAGGCGGGAGAGGCAAGCGGUACUCGAUGGGUAGGGGUAAAAUCCGUUGAUCCAUUGAAGACCACCAGUGGCGAAGGCGGCUUGCCAGAACGCGCUCGACGGUGAGGGAUGAAAGCUAGGGGAGCAAACAGG
rnacentral:rRNA from 1 species